GUGAGGGAAUGGGUGACUAGUGGCAGAGUGAGGGAGGGAAGGGGUGACUAGUGACAGAGUGAGGGGAUGACUGGUGACAGAGUGAGGGGGGGGUGACUGUCACUAGUCACCCCAUCCCUCUCUCUGUCACUAGUUACUCCCUCCCUAACUCUGUUACUGUGUCACCCGCUCCCUCACUCUGUCACUAGUCACCCCCUUACUCGGUCACUGUGUUACCCCUCCCUCUGUCACUAGUCACCCCCUCCCUCAC